rnacentral:misc_RNA from 1 species
AACGCACAUUGCGCUCUCUGGUAUUCCGGAGAGCACGCCUGUUCGAGCGCCAUUUCACCCCCCAAGCAAAGCUUGAUGUUGGACGACGUCCGUUUGUAGCGGACCCGUCUCAAACUCCUUUGGCGCCGUCAGUCGAGCACCAGCGUGGCAAGAAUAAAACUCUUCGCUCCGUGUCUCGGGUGUCGGUGGUCGUGAUGUUUUUAUCAAAUUCAUCAGAUUGGCCUCGGAUCAGGUGGGGAUACCCGCUGAACUUAA